AUAUUACUGAGUGCGUACUCUCAAUAAUGAAUAAUGUUGAACUCAAUAUGGUAUGCCUUUUUCCAGCAGAUAAAACAACUUUUGUGCUAUUUAAUUCAACAAGAGGUCACAGCCUUUCCUGUAGACUUAUUUUCUGAUGCAGGUUGACCAGAUGUGUGUUUGACAUUGAUACACAUGUGCAAUGGUCUAGAGAUGUAUCUUCAGGCUGUGCCAAUGCUGCUGGUAUUGUAUACUGUUGAUCUGAUAGUAGAGCUGGAAGAAGGUAAAACAUGAAAAAUUAACUUGUGACCUUUGUUACAAAUUGAAAGAAUUGCCCCAAAGAGUCCUUGUUUUGAAGAAGACUGAACACUAUUUGACUUUUUACUGCCAGUCUCAGCUGAAAUCAGGAUUAGAACAUCUGUCCUGUCUCUAGCUGGAAAUUCUGGACAACAGAACAACUGGAUGCAUUCAUGUAUACUAAACGUUAAAGACUGAUAUAUGUGCUCUUUUGUUGUUAGAUAUUCAUUAUUUUUAAUACAAUUAAAGUGGUCUGUAAAUACAUCAUGCAAUGAUUUCCUGUCAGAUUUUGUUCUGGAGGAGUGAUGGAAACUGAGCAGCUGUAAUGGAUUGUCAGCACAGCAGUUGAAUGCCAGCCAGCUGACAAAAGUGUCCAAAUAUACCUCUCUCUGAUGACAAAAUGUUCUUGACAUCUGAAUAAUUCCUAUGUUAACUGUAGCAGAAAAAUCACAUAAGAAGCAAUAGAAGCACAGAGGAGUUGGCAGUGAUAAACCAGACACAGUGACUGCAGUGAUGUCUGUGUGCAUGCUAGGAAAUUGAAUCAGACCACUCCGGGGGAUUCCUUUAUUAUUUGCUAUUCACACACUGGCACCCACACUUUCUCAGCUGCUGGCAAUAAGAUAACGUCAAUGCGCAUAUGGUAACGAGGCUUCCUGCAAGGAAGUAAGAAGCAACAUUUCCCAACAACCCCCAAAUGGAUGUUAUCUAAUAAAAAGAGUUCCAGCGCUUCAAUAUCAAAUGUGUUCCUUCCCUUUCAGUAGGGUGAUCCAGUUUUGUCAGCUACAAGGGACAGAUUUGGAUUUUAGAAUGCUCUGUGGGCUGUGUUUGGUUCUUAUUGCUGAGAGUGGGGGGAGUAACACAAAGAGCUGACUUGCACUGCUGGGAUGUGGAUGGAGCCGUAUGUGUAACUAGGGGCAAGAGGUGAAGGCUUCCCUCAUGUCACACUUUGCUGUGAGGUCUACCAUGACUUGUGACAAACUGGGAGGCAUUUGUGUCCAAACCAAGCUCAUGGGGCAAGAUGCCUUACUUGUCCUUGGGUAUGAGUGAGCAAGUCAAGGCUGCUAGCUGGACAGACCAUGGUUAUUAGGACCAUGCAUGUUUAAAUCAAGGAGAACAAAAAAUCAUACA